rnacentral:rRNA from 1 species
UACGGGGGGGGGCAAGCGUUGUUCGGAAUUACUGGGCGUAAAGGGCUCGUAGGCGGCCAACUAAGUCAGACGUGAAAUCCCUCGGCUUAACCGGGGAACUGCGUCUGAUACUGGAUGGCUUGAGAUUGGGAGAGGGAUGCGGAAUUCCAGGUGUAGCGGUGAAAUGCGUAGAUAUCUGGAGGAACACCGAUGGCGAAGGCAGGUCUCUGGGCCACUACUGACGCUGAGAAGCGAAAGCAUGGGGAGCGAACGAGG